rnacentral:piRNA from 1 species
UGUUAGGCAUGGAUGACAACAUGCAUUUCC